GCGCCUCGGCGUCGGCCUUGGCCUUGGCCAUCUGCUGCAACUCGCGCCUCAGCGCCGCCAACUCGUCGUCGGCUCCCGCGGCCGUGGUCGCCGGGAUAGCCCUGGUGGCUUGGGUGGUGUCGGCAUCCUGUGCGGCAGAGGUGCGCUCCGGUUUGGCAUCGGCGCCCUUGUUCAGAGUGCUGUUGUCGUCGUCGGCGUCGUCAGCAUCAACGUCGUCGUCGUCGUCGGCAAUCCUUCGCUUGCGCUUGCGCGAAUCGCCCUGCGGCUCGGCGCCGGGCGUGUGCAGCGCCGGUGGCGACGGCGACAGCAGAUCGCUGGCCUUUGGAUCGACGAGGUCUGCCUCGGUGGAGGGGUUGGCGAUGGUGCUCAUGACGGCGGCAGUGGGAUGGAUCCGCGAAAGACGGCUUGGAACGGGGGACAGCACAAACAGGUGCCCAAGUGGUGCUGUUGUUGUUGUUGGUGUUGUGUGUCUGUGUCGAUGACGAGGGCAAAGGUGUGCACGAGACCGCGUCGGCUGGCAAGGAUCGAGUCGGGGGACCCGGUGCGUCCAUGGGUCCUUUUUGUGCGCGCGGGCGCACGCGCGGGCACACGCGCGCACGCGCGCACGCACGCACGCAGCCAUCGACGACCCUCUGGCGGACCAAUGGCGCGCGAGCGUACGGCGCGGCUCUCGUCCGCAGCGACGUCCAAACGGGACAAGAGAAAGGCCCGCCGCAGACGGUCGACAGCGUCUGCCUUUUUGGCCGUUGCCGCUCGUCGACAAUGGCCAAUGUCGGCGUUUUUGCUCGGAGGUUGCCUUUUUCCGUUAUUUAAAAAAACGGGUGCUUUUGAUUCGUCGCGAUAAAAUAGCACGGACA
rnacentral:lncRNA from 1 species